rnacentral:piRNA from 1 species
UGAGCAAAAGCUUCAAUUUGCUGAGGUCCU